GAUGAACGCUGGCGGCGUGCCUAAUACAUGCAAGUCGAGCGAACGGACGAGAAUCUUGCUUCUCUGAUGUUAGCGGCGGACGUGUGAGGAACACGUGGAUAACCGACCUAUAAGACUGGGAUAACUUCGGGAAACCGGAGCUAAUACCGGAUAAUAUUUUAUACCGCAGGGUUCAAAAGUGAAAGACGGUCUUGCUGGCACUUAUAGAUGUAUCCGCGCUGCAUUAGCUAGUUGGUAAGGUAACGGCUUACCAAGGCAACGAUGCAUAGCCGACCUGAGAGGGUGAUCGGCCACACUGGAACUGAGACACGGUACAGACUCCUACGGGAGGCAGCAGUAGGGACUCCUCCGCAAUGGGCGAAAGCCUGACGUAGCACAGCCGCGUGAGUGAUGAAGGUCUUCGGAUCGUAAAACUCUGUUAUUAGGGAAGAACAUAUGUGUAAGUAACUGUGCACAUCUUGACGGUACCUAAUCAGAAAGCCACGGCUAACUACGUG
rnacentral:rRNA from 1 species